AGCGAACGCUGGCGGCAGGCCUAACACAUGCAAGUCGAACGAACCUUUCGGGGUUAGUGGCGGACGGGUGAGUAACACGUGGGAACGUGCCUUUAGGUUCGGAAUAACUCAGGGAAACUUGUGCUAAUACCGAAUGUGCCCUUCGGGGGAAAGAUUUAUUGCCUUUAGAGCGGCCCGCGUCUGAUUAGCUAGUUGGUUGAGGUAAUGGCUCACCAAGGCGACGAUCAGUAGCUGGUCUGAGAGGAUGAUCAGCCACAUUGGGACUGAGACACGGCCCAAACUCCUACGGGAGGCAGCAGUGGGGAAUCUUGCGCAAUGGGCGAAAGCCUGACGCAGCCAUGCCGCGUGAAUGAUGAAGGUCUUAGGAUUGUAAAAUUCUUUCACCGGGGACGAUAAUGACGGUACCCGGAGAAGAAGCCCCGGCUAACUUCGUG
rnacentral:rRNA from 1 species